UGGAUUUCUAUCAAAACAGAGAUGAACUGUCUACUAGCUUCUGCUGACAUUAAACAUCAACUUGUAUUGGAUGACAGAAAAAUUGAAGCUCCCUAUGAGCAGAAGCUGAAGAGGGCUGGGAUUAAUUUAAACAGGGAUAUUGAAAUUAGACAAUGUCUGAUCCCUGCCACCCAAGAUAUCUUGUUAUUUUGGGCCAGUAGAGUUUUUGAACAGGCAGGUCCAUUUAUGCACUUAUACUAUCUGGUUUAACCAAUAGGUAGUUUGGGCCUAUGGAUCAUUUAUCUAAAGCAGGAUUUUCCUGGGUGAUUUUUCUAUGCAAUGUGUUUCUUUUAAGUACUUAAAUAGUUCAUUUCUUGUAUUAGUUCAGGUUCCAGUUAUAUUUGAAAUAUAAAAUAUCUCUCCUUUCCCCACCACCCAAAAAACAAAACAAAAAUCCAAUGGGACCAGAAAUGAAUAAUGGCUACAGACUUGGCUAAAGUUUCACAGCCAUUUAAUCUUUUCACAGUGGUAAGACAUUGGCUCUGAGUUUAUUGAAUGGAAAAGUCACUCUCUGCUUCUUCUUUCUUCCUCUUGAUAUUCUUCAUGUUGUUCUCUGCACAUGGGCAUUUUAUUCAUAUUUGUCCCCUUGGAUAAUAAUAGGACAUGGAGGGAGUCAUAAGACAGUGGACCAAUUAAUGAUAAAUUAGAUUCUUAAAAACUGCCUGGUUCCUUAUGAAUGUAUUUAAAUUGAUUUGCAUGGUGCCAAAGGAUUUA